rnacentral:rRNA from 1 species
UCAUUAAAUCAGUUAUGGUUCCUUAGAUCGUACCCACACGUACUUGGAUAACUGUGGUAAUUCUAGAGCUAAUACAUGCAAACAGAGCUCCGACCGGAGACGGAAGGAGUGCUUUUAUUAGAUCAAAACCAAUCGGUGGCGGGCUCGCUCGUCAUCGUACAACUUGGUGACUCUGAAUAACUUUACGCUGAUCGCACGGUCACCGCACCGGCGACGCAUCUUUCAAAUGUCUGCCUUAUCAACUGUCGAUGGUAGGUUCUGCGCCUACCAUGGUUGUAACGGGUAACGGGGAAUCAGGGUUCGAUUCCGGAGAGGGAGCCUGAGAAACGGCUACCACAUCCAAGGAAGGCAGCAGGCGCGCAAAUUACCCACUCCCGGCACGGGGAGGUAGUGAC